rnacentral:rRNA from 1 species
UGAGACACGGCCCAGACUCCUACGGGAGGCAGCAGUGGGGAAUAUUGGACAAUGGGCGAAAGCCUGAUCCAGCAAUGCCGCGUGGGUGAAGAAGGUCUUCGGAUUGUAAAGCCCUUUCGACGGGGACGAUGAUGACGGUACCCGUAGAAGAAGCCCCGGCUAACUUCGUGCCAGCAGCCGCGGUAAUACGAAGGGGGCUAGCGUUACUCGGAAUGACUGGGCGUAAAGGGCGCGUAGGCGGUUCGUACAGUUGGAUGUGAAAUUCCUGGGCUCAACCUGGGGGCUGCAUUCAAUACGUGCGGGCUUGAGUUCGGAAGAGGGUCGUGGAAUUCCCAGUGUAGAGGUGAAAUUCGUAGAUAUUGGGAAGAACACCGGUGGCGAAGGCGGCGACCUGGUCCGAUACUGACGCUGAGGCGCGAAAGCGUGGGGAGCAAACAGGAUUAGAUACCCUGGUAGUCCACGCUGUAAACGAUGUGUGCUGGAUGUUGGGUGACCUAGUCACUCAGUGUCGUAGCUAACGCGAUAAGCACACCGCCUGGGGAGUACGGCCGCAAGGUUGAAACUCAAAGGAA